rnacentral:lncRNA from 1 species
CCCUCGAUUCGAGCAUUUUGCAUGCCCAAAUCCUAGUCCCGUGUAUUAGAUGUAUGCUCUAGAAGCCAGAUUGGCUGAUACUUGUAAAAUACUUUUAGGAUAUAAUUUAUAAUUUAACUUUGAUAUUAAUAAAAUUAAAUUAUUUUUAUUCAUAUUAUGUUUAAUAGUGUCUGUGAAUCGUCUAUUGGAUUAAUGGAUAAGAUAACACAUAUUCUCAAGGAUUAAGAAUUUGAGAUGUGUGCUCAUCUUAGUUAACUCAUAAAUUACUUUCAAUCAUAAAAUCAUCAUGGAGAUGGUGAUAGAUUUGGAAAACUAGUGUACGAUCACUUCUUUCGGAUAGAUGAGUCUUGAAUCUACAGUGUGGAGACACCAAAAUGAAAGUACAGAUAUUUAUUAGGAACAAGAAUACUGAACGUGACCAUUUACAAAUAGUCAUAUUCAUAGCUGUAGUUAUGUGUUUAGCUCUCUGAUCUGAGGUGCAUCGAUAGUUCACCUUAAGGAUGCUGUAGUUUAACUACACCAUAACUUGAUCUCCUUACCAUAUGGAGCCUUAAGGUGUAUGUUGACUAUAGUAUAUUUAUUGUAAAAAUUGGAUUGCAUCAAGAUGGGAUCUAUCGACCUCGAUAGAGGAGGAGCAGUCCUAUGUAGAUCAUGAGCUUGAGCCAAAAGCCCAUGGCCAUGGCAAUGUGAAAGAUAAAAAAGAGUUUCUAUUGGAUUUUGCAUUGGACUUGAAUCGAUUAAUUCUAUCAUAUGAUAGAUAUGAGGUUUGACGAGUUUACCUUGACCUCGAUUCUGUCAAGA